rnacentral:rRNA from 1 species
UACGUAGGGACCAAGCGUUGUUCGGAUUUACUGGGCGUAAAGGGCGCGUAGGCGGCUCGGCACGUCCGUUGUGAAAUCGCCCGGCUCAACUGGGCGGGGUCGGCGGAUACGGCCGAGCUGGAGCAAGCUAGGGGGUAAUGGAAUUCCCGGUGUAGUGGUGGAAUGCGUAGAUAUCGGGAGGAACACCAGUGGCGAAGGCGGUUACCUGGAGCUUUGCUGACGCUGAUGCGCGAAAGCGUGGGGAGCGAUCCGG